UACAGAGGUCUCAAGCGGUGUUCGGAUUCAUUGGGCGUAAAGGGUGUGUAGGUGGCGCCGUAAGUCGGGUGUGAAAUUUCGGAGCUUAACUCCGAAACUGCAUUCGAUACUGCGGUGCUUGAGGACUGGAGAGGAGACUGGAAUUCAUGGUGUAGCAGUGAAAUGCGUAGAGAUCAUGAGGAAGACCAGUGGCGAAGGCGGGUCUCUGGACAGUUCCUGACACUGAGACACGAAGGCCAGGGGAGCAAACGGG
rnacentral:rRNA from 1 species